rnacentral:lncRNA from 1 species
UUCUAAAAUAAUAUUUAUAGAGUUACCGGUAAAUAAUUUUUGUAGCGUAAAAGCUAAAUAAAUUCAUACAUACUGUAAUACAGAUAACCAAAGUAUAAAAUUUAACUUACAGUGACACGUGGGCCCACGAAUGACCAAAAGUAUUAAAAGCGGUAAACUUAUAGUUUUUUAAGGAUGCAAGUCUAACUGUAGCCCUCAACGAAAUGAGUUAUCUACCGACUAUCCUAAGCCUGAAAGAGGUGGAAAAGAGGGUGGUAAGAUUAUAUAAUCCCAGUGAGUAAACAAAUAUCAUCUAAAAUAUAUAAAGUUGAGUAAAUGGAGAUAGAUUAAAAUAGAUCAUCAUAUUGUAAUUCAUCACCUCUCAACUCAUUUCAACCAAAUAAAAUCAAUUCAUAUAAAUCAAGUAAUCAACAAGGCUUAUGAAUUUCUUAAAACUUUGACUCGUGCCAAAAUCAUUCUCAUACUCAGUUAUCAGGGAUACCUUGGCUUAGGGCUAUCCCAACCGAGUCCGCCAAGGCUGUUAAAAAGUCAUGUACGCAUAAAUCAUGUUUUUAUUUUGAAAACAUAGCCAUUCCUUGGCGUUGGCUAAGUUCACCCUCACGUGGUGGUUUAGCGUGAAGUGAACUCUAAAGUUGUACCUCGGGAGUUAACCUACACGCCUCUCCGAUCGAGGUAAGAAUAUAACAAGGUUACCGUGCCUUUUAAUAGGCUGGUCCACAGAACCUGCCCACUGCAGCAAGCUAAACCUACCAUACGGUAAAAUUUGCAAUAGCAUGACAUGGCAAUUAUAUCACAAUCCAACCUCUCAAGGCUAAAUACACAGUUCAUAUAUUUCAACACAAAUACCAAUUCAGCCAUUCAUGCAAAUAUUGUCAUAAGCCAUUCAAUUCAAACCAUGAAUUUACAACACAUGAAAACAAUCUCCAAUUACUCUAUUUUCAAACCAUCAUUUCAUUUCAAGACAAUGUUAUAAAAUCAUUUCAUUAAAUCACAUUUUAAUUACAAAACACAAAGAUUUACCAUUUAACUCAUUUUUCAUAAAAUCACAGAAUCGGAUAAAAACCACUUUAGAUAAUUAAGAUGAUAGUAAGGUUACUCAUUAUUUAGGGAGUCAAAUUCUGAGUACUCCGAUUCUUGAUCCUCGGGUACUAUCUCUUUACUUUUGCUAAAAUGCUCACCACCUAGAUAUACAUGACACAUAAUUCAAUAUACUGUGUCAUACCAUUAUAAAUCUAUUUCAGGCUCUUUACUAAUGCAUGAAAUGGGAUGUAAAAUACUCGAGUAACUAUCUAAAUAUGGUGUUCAAUAUAAUUUCAAUUAUGUACCUAAAUAAAACAGUAUUGGCCUAAUUUGAUCUAUCACCCGAUUAAUUGGUCAAUACGUCCAAUUUAACUCCAAUUAACUCCAUUUUUCUUCCAAUUCUCCAAACCAUCAAACACAAGUCAAAUAGCAUAAAAUUUAGCAAAAUCAUCCUCACAUUUCUUCUUGAGAAUUUCGGUCAUGGUGAGUGCAUCAACACUAUGAUUUUUCCUACUUGAUUUUCUCACCAUAAUUCAUCAUUUCCUAACCAAUUCACUUGAAAUAAAAUCAAAUCCACCAUCAACACUCUACAAGGAAGAUUUGGCCAAUGAUGAACUCAUGAGGAAUAUGUGAAUUUCAAGCUUAAUUCUUACACUUAACACCAUAAACAACUAAAAACAUCCAUAUAUCUUAAAAAUCUAUCUAAAUCAUCAUCAAAUUCUCUCUCCUAGGGUUUGAUCAGCACACAAUCCUUCAUGAUAUCUUGUGAUUCAACCAUGAAAAAUGCAAAAGAAUGUAUGGGAAAGGUAGAUCACAAGUCAAAAUCAAGAAAUUUUACCUUUGAUUACUUGAUUACUUGAAAUCCACCAAAUUUCUCUUGAAUUUUCACCCUAAGGUUCUUGUUCUUUCUUUUCUUCCUUUGUUCUUG